GUAGUUGUGGCCGAGUGGUUAAGGCGAUGGACUGCGGUUUCCCUGCGCAGGUUCAAAUCCUGCCAGCUACG